ensembl:misc_RNA Metazoa_SRP Metazoan signal recognition particle RNA
GCCGGGCGUGGUGGCUUAUGCCUGUAAUCCCAGCACUUUGGGAGGCUGAGGUGGGCGGAUCACCUGAGGUCAGGAGUUCGAGACCAGCCUGGCCAAUAUGGUGAAACCCCAUCUCUA